rnacentral:rRNA from 1 species
CUGGCUCAGAACGAACGCUGGCGGCAGGCCUAACACAUGCAAGUCGAGCGCCCCGCAAGGGGAGCGGCAGACGGGUGAGUAACGCGUGGGAAUCUACCUAGUGCUACGGAAUAACCCCGGGAAACUUGGAGUAAUACCGUAUAAGCCCGAAAGGGGAAAGAUUUAUCGGCAUUAGAUGAGCCCGCGUUGGAUUAGCUAGUUGGUAGGGUAACGGCCUACCAAGGCGACGAUCCAUAGCUGGUCUGAGAGGAUGAUCAGCCACACUGGGACUGAGACACGGCCCAGACUCCUACGGGAGGCAGCAGUGGGGAAUAUUGGACAAUGGGCGCAAGCCUGAUCCAGCCAUGCCGCGUGAGUGACGAAGGUCUUCGGAUUGUAAAGCUCUUUUGGCGGGGAAGAUAAUGACGGUACCCGCAGAAUAAGCCCCGGCUAACUUCGUGCCAGCAGCCGCGGUAAUACGAAGGGGGCUAGCGUUGUUCGGAAUUACUGGGCGUAAAGCGCACGUAGGCGGACUUAUAAGUCAGGGGUGAAAUCCCGGGGCUCAACCUC